rnacentral:rRNA from 1 species
GGUUAAGCGACUAAGCGUACACGGUGGAUGCCCUGGCAGUCAGAGGCGAUGAAGGACGUGCUAAUCUGCGAAAAGCGCCGGCGAGGUGAUAUGAACCCUUGACCCGGCGAUGUCCGAAUGGGGAAACCCAGUGUGUUCCGACACACUAUCGUUAACUGAAUACAUAGGUUAACGAGGCGAACCGGGGGAACUGAAACAUCUAAGUACCCCGAGGAAAAGAAAUCAACCGAGAUUCCCCCAGUAGCGGCGAGCGAACGGGGAGCAGCCCGGAGUCUGAAUCAGCUUGUGUGUUAGUGGAACGGUCUGGAAAGUCCGACGGUACAGGGUGAUAGUCCCGUACACGAAAACACACUUGCUGUGAACUCGAAGAGUAGGGCGGGACACGUGGUAUCCUGUCUGAAUAUGGGGGGACCAUCCUCCAAGGCUAAAUACUCCUGACUGACCGAUAGUGAACCAGUACCGUGAGGGAAAGGCGAAAAGAACCCCGGCGAGGGGAGUGAAAAAGAACCUGAAACCGUGUACGUACAAGCAGUGGGAGC